UAAGGAAUAUUGCUCAAUGGGAGAAAUCCUGAAGCAGCAACGCCGCGUGGAGGAUGAAGGGUUUUUAACUUGUAAACUCCUGUAAAGAAGGAAAAAAUUCCCAUUAGAUGGGAAAUGAUGGUACUUCUGGAGUAAGCCCCGGCUAACUACGUGCCAGCAGCCGCGGUAAUACGUAGGGGGCAAGCGUUGUCCGGAUUUACUGGGUGUAAAGGGUGCUCAGGCGGAUUUGUAAGUCAGAGGUGAAAUCUCACAGCUUAACUGUGAAACUGCCUUUGAUACUGCAAGCCUAGAGUAUGGAAGAGAGUGAUGGAAUAUCUGGUGUAGCAGUGAAAUGCGUAGAUAUCAGAUAGAACACCAAUGGCGAAGGCAGUCACUUGGUCCAUAACUGACGCUAAAGCACGAAAGCGUGGGUAGCAAAACAGGAUUAGAUACCCUGGUAGUCCACGCCCUAAACGAUGAAUACUAGAUGUUGGCUUCGCAUGAAGUCAGUAUCUGAGCUAACGCAUUAAGUAUUCCACCUGGAAGUACGAUCGCAAGGUUGAAACUCAAAGGAAUUGACGGGGUCAUAGCUGUUUCCUG
rnacentral:rRNA from 1 species